UCUCGCCGAUAGGAGGGGUAACUACUGGAAACGGUGGCUAAUACCGCAUAAUGUCUACGGACCAAAGCAGGGGCUCUUCGGACCUUGCACUAUCGGAUGAACCCAUAUGGGAUUAGCUAGUAGGUGGGGUAAAGGCUCACCUAGGCGACGAUCUCUAGCUGGUCUGAGAGGAUGAUCAGCCACACUGGGACUGAGACACGGCCCAG
rnacentral:rRNA from 1 species